CCCCUGUGUUCGUCCGCAGGAUGAAGCGGGCGAGCUCUCUCAACUUCCUCAACAAGACCGCCGAAGACCCUGCACAGCAGCCUAACGCUGGCCUAUCGGAAUCCAGGGGACUGAGCGCCAGCAACGUUGACCUCUCAAGACGCAGCUCUCUGAUUGGAUGAAGUUGAGCCCCGAAGUGGGGGGGGGGGGGUGGUGUUAAGGAAGGACCCCCCCCCUCCUCCCGUUCAGCACCAGGAGGGGCUGCCCUGUUUCCUGCCUGAUUGGAAAUUCCUGAGACAUGCAAACCAAAAUUCUGAGCGCAUUUAAUUUUUUGGGGGGGAGAUAAGAAUUUGCCUUUGCCACGAAGAAGCCUUUACUUUAUCGCGGGGCGGGACAGGGUGUAGCGUACUCCAGCAGUUCAAGAUGUUUGCUGAACUGGCCAUCGGGGUGGGGGGUGGGGGGGUGAAUAAACGAACUGUUCUCUAAAUUAACAGAAAUUAUCCCGCAUGCCGCUUUCCAAAGGGAGAGGUCGAGCGUCUUCGCCGGGAGCCCUCUGGUGGAAGGGGGGAGUCGGGACGCCCGGGGCGCCUCUUUGCCGUGGUGUGGCGGACCGGCCCCCCGGCGGACGCGCUCGGCCUCGCUCCUCU